rnacentral:lncRNA from 1 species
CCUCCAGGUGCUGAGAUUGCUCAUCACCGCCUGGGAGCGCAGACUCAUCUUCACUAUUGGAACAUCCAACACCACGGGCGAGUCAGACACCGUGGUGUGGAACGAGAUUCACCACAAGACGGAGUUUGGUUCCAACCUCACUGGCCACGGCUAUCCGGACGCCAGUUACCUAGACAACGUGCUGGCUGAGCUCACCGCCCAGGGUGUUUCUGAGGCUAUGGCUAAGGCCUGAGGCCUGAGUUGCCUGCCUUCCCUCUUGCCUCGCCCUUAGCCCGGCACAUGCCUCCCUCCACCAGGUGGGAGGAGCCAGAAGCGCUGAGGGGAUCUGGCUGGUGGCUGUGGGGGGUGAUGGAAGCACACCAGGCCAGCUGGUUCCAACCUGUGGCUUCCGGCAAGAGCAGCAGAGAUAGGACCA